rnacentral:rRNA from 1 species
UACGUAGGUGGCAAGCGUUGUCCGGAUUUAUUGGGCGUAAAGCGAGCGCAGGCGGUUCUUUAAGUCUGAUGUGAAAGCCCCCGGCUCAACCGAGGAGGGUCAUUGGAAACUGGAGAACUUGAGUGCAGAAGAGGAGAGUGGAAUUCCACGUGUAGCGGUGAAAUGCGUAGAUAUGUGGAGGAACACCAGUGGCGAAGGCGACUCUCUGGUCUGUAACUGACGCUGAGGCUCGAAAGCGUGGGGAGCAAACAGG